CGUGUAGGCGGCUUUACAGGUCCGUUGUGAAAACUCGAGGCUCAACCUCGAGACGCCGGUGGAAACCGUAAAGCUAGAGUCCGGAAGAGGAGAGUGGAAUUCCUGGUGUAGCGGUGAAAUGCGCAGAUAUCAGGAAGAACACCCGUGGCGAAGGCGGCUCUCUGGGACGGUACUGACGCUGAGACGCGAAAGCGUGGGGAGCAAACAGGAUUAGAUACCCUGGUAGUCCACGCCGUAAACGAUGGGUGCUAGGUGUGGGCGGUGUCGACUCCGUCCGUGCCGAAGCUAACGCAUUAAGCACCCCGCCUGGGGAGUACGGCCGCAAGGCUAAA
rnacentral:rRNA from 1 species